rnacentral:rRNA from 1 species
UACGUAGGGUGCAAGCGUUAUCCGGAAUUAUUGGGCGUAAAGAGCUCGUAGGCGGUUUGUCGCGUCUGCCGUGAAAGUCCGGGGCUCAACUCCGGAUCUGCGGUGGGUACGGGCAGACUAGAGUGCAGUAGGGGAGACUGGAAUUCCCGGUGUAGAGGUGAAAUUCGUAGAUAUCGGGAGGAACACCGGUGGCGAAGGCGGCGAUCUGGGUCGAUACUGACGCUGAGGUGCGAAAGCGUGGGGAGCAAACAGG